AUUUAAUUUCUGUAGAAAAAUGUAGGUCUUUAGACACUGUUUACAACCAUCAGUGACUCUGCUGUUCAGAUAUCUUCAUACAAGUUCAUUCCACCAUCUAGGUGCCAGAACAAAGAAGAGUCUUGAUGCAUGCCUUGCUUGUACCCUGAGAGAUGGUGGCACCAGUCUAGCGGUGCUAGAGCUUCGGAGGGAGUACAGUGCAGUGCGGGGGGUGAUAACUGAUUUGAGGUUUGCGGGGAUCCUGGAGCCUAUCCCAUGGAGCAUGGGGCACAAGGCAAGCUGAGUGGUUAAGUGCCUUGCCCCAUUUUCUGUGCUCAACGGGUUAAAUCGAGGCCAUACAUAUGCAUCCCACAAUGGAGUUAUAAAGAGUUAAGUGAGAUCUUGUUGUGUGUUUGCUAAGUGAAUAUUGCAUCUCUGUAACUACCAGGAUAAAACAAAUAACAUCACACAGACACCUCUGCGAAUUU
ensembl:lncRNA